UAAAAAUUUAUUUAUUUUAGGUAGUAACAGAUUUCUUAAAAUCUAAAGAAUUUGGCGGUAUUUUAAAUAAUUAGAGGAACCUGUAAAAUAAAUGAUAAUCCACAAUAUAUCUGACCUUAAUUAAGUUUGUAUACCGUUGUUUUAAGAUUAUAUUUAAAAAUUUAUGAUCAGGAUUAAUUAAUUUUUAUAAAUCAAAUCAAGGUGCAGCAUAUUUAGGUUUUUAUGGGUUACAAUAUAUUUAUAUAUUUACGGAUUAAUAAUGAAAAUAUUUUUAAAGGUGGAUUUAAAAGUAAUUUAAAAUUAAAAUGUUUAAAUGAAUAAAAAUUUAAAAUAUGC
rnacentral:rRNA from 1 species